GGCGGCAUGCCUAACACAUGCAAGUCGAGCGGCAGCAUGAUGUGUAGCAAUACACAUUGAUGGCGAGCGGCGGACGGGUGAGUAAUGUAUGGGGAUCUGCCCAGUAGCGGGGGACAACCCGGAGAAAUCCGGGCUAAUACCGCAUACGCCCUACGGGGGAAAGCGGAGGACCGAAAGGCUUCGCACUAUUGGAGGAACCCAUACCCGAUUAGCUAGUUGGUGAGGUAACGGCUCACCAAGGCAACGAUCGGUAGCUGGUCUGAGAGGACGAUCAGCCACACCGGAACUGAGACACGGUCCGGACUCCUACGGGAGGCAGCAGUGGGGAAUAUUGGACAAUGGGGGAAACCCUGAUCCAGCAAUGCCGCGUGGGUGAAGAAGGCCUGCGGGUUGUAAAGCCCUUUCGGUGAGGACAAAAAGCGCCGUGCUAAUACCAUGGUGUUUUGAUUUAACUCAUUAAAGAAGCACCGGCUAACUCUGUGCCAGCAGCCGCGGUAAUACAGA
rnacentral:rRNA from 1 species